CAGUUCGGAUUGUAGUCUGCAACCCGACUACAUGAAGCCGGAAUCGCUAGUAAUCGCGGAUCAGAAUGCCGCGGUGAAUACGUUCCCGGGUCUUGUACACACCGCCCGUCACACCAUGAGAGUUGGGAAUACCCGAAGCCUGUGAGCUAACGAAAGAGGCAGCAGUCGAAGGUAGAAUCAAUGAUUGGGGUGAAGUCGUAACAAGGUACC
rnacentral:rRNA from 1 species